GUACCUUGUGUAUCAGGGUUUACUGAAUUUUAUUAUUUAUUUUUAUUUCCCGAUUCUAAAAGGAGCUAUUGGCUUAUUUUGGUUGUUGUUUUAUUAACAUUAAUAAUAGGCUAAUGGUAAUGAAAUGUUAUUCGUCUUUAGGGGUUUCUGGUUUUUCAAGAAAUGAAUUUAAUUCAUACGUCUUAUUUAGAGUUUUAUUAUUUGUUUAUUUAUUUUUAUUUGGCGUUAAGAUUGGGAGGGAUUAGCUUCUUAUUUUAUUUUUAUAAUUUUUUGUUUUGUUUAGUCUUGUGGGUUUUAUAGUGAUUUUCAAUUUGAUUAUGUUAAAAUUUUAUUUGUUUUGUUCUUUUAUUUUUGUUUGUUUAAUUAUUUAUUGAAAUGUAUUCUUUAUCUUUGGUUUAUGGUUAGUAAUUAUUGUAGAAUUAGUAAAUUUGUUGUUAGGUUGUUUUAUUUGUGUUAAUUUUCUUUGAGGAACUAGGCAAAUUUCAUGUCCGCCUGUUUAACAAAAACAUCUUUUCUCGUUAGUUUUUGAAGUAUGGCCUGCCCGCUGACUUUAGUGUUGAAGGGCCGCGGUAUUUUGACCGUGCAAAGGUAGCAUAGUCAUUAGUUCUUUAAUUGUGAUCUGGUAUGAAUGGCUUGACGAGGCAUGGGCUGUCUUAAUUUUGAAUUGUUUAUUGAAUUUGGUCUUUGAGUUAAAAUUCUUAGAUGUUUUUAUGGGACGAGGAGACCCUAUAGAGUUUAACAUUUGUUAUGGUCCCCUUUCUGUUUGUGAGGGUUCAUUGGGCCGUUUAAUAUGUUUUGUUGGGGUGAUGGGAGGGAUUAAUUUAACCCCUCCUUUUUAUUAUUAUAUUUAUUUAUAUUUACUUGAUCCAUUUAUUUUGAUUGUAAGAUUAAAUUACCUUAGGGAUAACAGCGUAA
rnacentral:rRNA from 1 species